rnacentral:tRNA from 1 species
GGGGCGUUAUGCAAGCGGUCGAAGCGGCUUGAUUCUCAAUCAAGUAUUUCAUCGGUUCAAAUCCGAUACGCCCUGUCA